UACAGAGGUCUCAAGCGUUGUUCGGAUUCAUUGGGCGUAAAGGGUGUGUAGGUGGCGCCGUAAGUCGGGUGUGAAAUUUCGGAGCUUAACUCCGAAACUGCAUUCGAUACUGCGGUGCUUGAGGACUGGAGAGGAGACUGGAAUUUACGGUGUAGCAGUGAAAUGCGUAGAGAUCGUAAGGAAGACCAGUGGCGAAGGCGGGUCUCUGGACAGUUCCUGACGCUGAGGCACGAAGGCCAGGGGAGCAAACGGG
rnacentral:rRNA from 1 species